GUAGGGAGUGUGUGCGUAUGUGUUCGAGGUCUACGUAGACCAUGACAGGAAACUGCUACAGUCAUCCAGGAAAAAAAAAAAGAAUCACUACCUAGUGGAAAAUGUUGUGCAAGCCUCUUCAUGUUUCUUCCCUCCAGAAAACAACUAAACAGAUGGAAGAACUGGUUCACAAACAUCCCAACUCUCUCCUGCCAAGGAAUAUAACAGAAGCAGAACAAUCUGAAUCUGGCUGGGGGAUUGUCCUAGACCCUGGGAUGAGAGGG